UACGUAGGGGGCUAGCGUUGUCCGGAAUCAUUGGGCGUAAAGCGCGCGUAGGCGGCCCGGUAAGUCCGUUGUGAAAGUCAAAGGCUCAACCUUUGAAUGCCGAUGGAUACUGCCGGGCUCGAGUCCGGAAGAGGCGAGUGGAAUUCCUGGUGUAGCGGUGGGAUGCGCAGAUAUCAGGAGGAACACCAAUAGCGAAGGCAGCUUGCUACACGAGUAUUGACACUGAGGCACGAAAGCGUGGGGAUCAAACAGG
rnacentral:rRNA from 1 species